AGCGAACGCUGGCGGCAGGCCUAACACAUGCAAGUCGAGCGCCCGUAGCAAUACGGGAGCGGCAGACGGGUGAGUAACACGUGGGAACGUACCCUUCGGUUCGGAAUAACCCAGGGAAACUUGGACUAAUACCGAAUACGUCCGUAAGGAGAAAGAUUUAUCGCCGAAGGAUCGGCCCGCGUCCGAUUAGCUAGUUGGUGGGGUAAUGGCCCACCAAGGCUACGAUCGGUAGCUGGUCUGAGAGGANGAUCAGCCACACUGGGACUGAGACACGGCCCAGACUCCUACGGGAGGCAGCAGUGGGGAAUAUUGGACAAUGGGGGAAACCCUGAUCCAGCAAUUCCGCGUGGGUGAAGAAGGCCUGGUUGUAAG
rnacentral:rRNA from 1 species